rnacentral:rRNA from 1 species
UGGGGAAUUUUGGACAAUGGGCGCAAGCCUGAUCCAGCAAUGCCGCGUGCAGGAUGAAGGCCUUCGGGUUGUAAACUGCUUUUGUACGGAGCGAAACGGCUCUACCUAAUACGUAGGGCUAAUGACGGUACCGUAAGAAUAAGCACCGGCUAACUACGUGCCAGCAGCCGCGGUAAUACGUAGGGUGCGAGCGUUAAUCGGAAUUACUGGGCGUAAAGCGUGCGCAGGCGGUCUUGUAAGACAGAUGUGAAAUCCCCGGGCUCAACCUGGGACCUGCAUUUGUGACUGCAAGGCUGGAGUGCGGCAGAGGGGGAUGGAAUUCCGCGUGUAGCAGUGAAAUGCGUAGAUAUGCGGAGGAACACCGAUGGCGAAGGCAAUCCCCUGGGCCUGCACUGACGCUCAUGCACGAAAGCGUGGGGAGCAAACAGGAUUAGAUACCCCCGUAGUCCCUGAGCGGGCUGGCAAGGCGCAU